AGACCAAACAAUUCAAAAUACAAAACUUUAAAAGUCUAUUCUUCUUCAAAAUUAUCCAACUCUUGAAGAUCAAAAUCCUCUACAUCAUUAUAUUGUUCUUCAUCUUCUUCCUCCUCGUAUUCUUCAUCAAUUAGUGUCCGAGUCCUACUUGAAGAUGAACUUGUAGAUGUACUUUCUACUCCUUUGCCCUUGUCAAGUACUGUUGAUCUUGAAGAAAGUCCCCUAAGAUGAUAGAUACUCUCGUCUGCUCCAAUUGCCGUAGCAACACUACCCCAAGUAAGAUCAUCAUCCUCAUAUACU
rnacentral:misc_RNA from 1 species